rnacentral:rRNA from 1 species
AGAGUUUGAUCAUGGCUCAGGAUGAACGCUAGCUACAGGCUUAACACAUGCAAGUCGAGGGGGAAACGAUAUUGGAAGCUUGCUUCCGAUAGGCGUCGACCGGCGCACGGGUGAGUAACGCGUAUCCAACCUGCCCACCACUUGGGGAUAACCUUGCGAAAGUAAGACUAAUACCCAAUGACGUCUCUAGAAGACAUCUGAAAGAGAUUAAAGAUUUAUCGGUGAUGGAUGGGGAUGCGUCUGAUUAGCUUGUUGGCGGGGUAACGGCCACCAAGGCUACGAUCAGUAGGGGUUCUGAGACGGAAGGUCCCCACAUUGGAACUGAGUACACGGUCCAACUCCUACGGGAGGCA